rnacentral:rRNA from 1 species
GAUGAACGCUGGCGGCGUGCCUAAUACAUGCAAGUCGAGCGAACAGAUGAGGAGCUUGCUCCUCUGACGUUAGCGGCGGACGGGUGAGUAACACGUGGAUAACCUACCUAUAAGACUGGGAUAACUUCGGGAAACCGGAGCUAAUACCGGAUAAUAUAUUGAACCGCAUGGUUCAAUAGUGAAAGACGGUUUUGCUGUCACUUAUAGAUGGAUCCGCGCCGCAUUAGCUAGUUGGUAAGGUAACGGCUUACCAAGGCAACGAUGCGUAGCCGACCUGAGAGGGUGAUCGGCCACACUGGAACUGAGACACGGUCCAGACGCCUACGGGAGGCAGCAGUAGGGAACCUGCCGCAAUGGGCGAAAGCCUGACGGAGCAACGCCGCGUGAGUGAUGAAGGUCUUCGGAUCGUAAAACUCUGUUAUUAGGGAAGAACAAAUGUGUAAGUAACUAUGCACGUCUUGACGGUACCUAAUCAGAAAGCCACGGCUAACUACGUG